UAGGGAAUCUUCCGCAAUGGGCGAAAGCCUGACGGAGCAACGCCGCGUGAGUGAUGAAGGUCUUCGGAUCGUAAAACUCUGUUAUUAGGGAAGAACAAAUGUGUAAGUAACUAUGCACGUCUUGACGGUACCUAAUCAGAAAGCCACGGCUAACUACGUGCCAGCAGCCGCGGUAAUACGUAGGUGGCAAGCGUUAUCCGGAAUUAUUGGGCGUAAAGCGCGCGUAGGCGGUUUUUUAAGUCUGAUGUGAAAGCCCACGGCUCAACCGUGGAGGGUCAGUGGAAACUGGAAAACUUGAGUGCAGAAGAGGAAAGUGGAAUUCCAUGUGUAGCGGUGAAAUGCGCAGAGAUAUGGAGGAACACCAGUGGCGAAGGCGACUUUCUGGUCUGUAACUGACGCUGAUGUGCGAAAGCGUGGGGAGCAAACAGG
rnacentral:rRNA from 1 species